GUAGUCAUAUGCUUGUCUCAAAGAUUAAGCCAUGCAUGUCUAAGUUCACACCCUCGUACGGUGAAACCGCGAAUGGCUCAUUAAAUCAGUCGAGGUUCCUUAGAUGAUCCAUUUCUACUUGGAUAACUGUGGUAAUUCUAGAGCUAAUACAUGCCCAACAGCUCCGACCCCGGGCUUCGCGGUUCGGGGAAAGAGCGCUUUUAUUAGUUCAAAACCAGUCGGGGGUUUCGGCCCUCGUGCUUUGGUGACUCUGGAUAACUUUGAGCCGAUCGCAUGGCCUCGAGCCGGCGACGCAUCUUUCAAAUGUCUGCCCUAUCAAAUGACGACGGUACGUGAUCUGCCUACCGUGUUGACUACGGGUAGCGGGGAAUCAGGGUUCGAUUCCGGAGAGGGAGCAUGAGA
rnacentral:rRNA from 1 species